rnacentral:lncRNA from 1 species
ACGGAUUCAUUCCAUGGAUGAUUAUUUCAUGACUGAAGUUGAAAGGGUACUUAUAUGUCUUCUUAUUAGUCAUGCUCUAAAUAAAAGUUUUGAUCUCUCAUUUAUAAAAGAAGUUCUCAGUGGAAAGUGGGUGGUUUUCUUACGGCCUAUUGUAGAAGAUAUACAUGAAGAGGAUUUAAGCACUAUUUUCUCGUUAAUAGGUUGAGAGCGAGGUUUCAAAAUCUUCUGGUUCUGUUCGUGGGAAAAAGGCAGUCACGAAGGUCAUGGAGUACUGUUAUGAACCGGAAAUGGAAGAGGUGACGAAAUAUAUCUCUUACUUCUUCUAUAUUUAUUAGCUUAAUAUGUAUCUGCAGUGCAUAUUUAGAUACCCUAUCUUUUAGUCCAUAAGAUUUAUUUUUACCCUUCAUUGGUAAAAACUAGUUGAUGCUGCCCUAAGUUGAGCAUAAAAGGGAUCUUAUAAUAUUGGAAUAAUACUAUGUAGCAUUGCUGAUAUAUAUUACCAGUCUACAUGGAAACACACGUGGCAUUAAGCUAUAGGUGCAAUUAAAUGUAGGGAUAUAGGACCUAUUUAAUUGGACCUAUUAUUUAAUGCCACGUAGACUUCUACGUAGCAUUCCUCAUAAUAUUGUAAACUUAAUUUUGAUGAACCAUAUAAUUUUACUAAUUUUAUGGAUUUGAAAUGAGGUAAACUAAUAGCCCAAAUCUAUCGGAAUUUUUAAAAAUAUUUAAUUGGGUAUUGAUGCGUGGGCCUCGAUGUGCUUUGAGGUGUAAACCUCUGGACAAAACAGUAAAAUAAUAAAAAUAAAAAUAAAAGAAAAAAGUAUGUGCAUGAUAAACCAUAUACCAUUUUAAAGAUUGAGCCCCUAUUUUGCCCCAUUCUCUAAAACACAUUUUUCCUCAAACUUGUAUUCAACCACACAUUUCAUAAAACUCACAACUUUAAUUAAUUUUUAACCACACAUCACAUUAACUUUUUAUCAAAAUAUACUGAAAAUCUAUUUCUAACUAAGCCUAACAGGGCUUAAUAAUAAAACUAAUUAACAAAAUUAAAGUCUAACUUGAAAACAUACAUAAAGUUUAUCAAUAAAAUGACAAAUAAUAAAUUCUCAAAUUAGUGAUCAC